UGAACCGUUAUAACCGGCGAUACCCGAAUGGGGAAACCCAGUGUGACUCGUCACACUAUCAUUAACUGAAUCCAUAGGUUAAUGAGGCGAACCGGGGGAACUGAAACAUCUAAGUACCCCGAGGAAAAGAAAUCAACCGAGAUUCCCCCAGUAGCGGCGAGCGAACGGGGAGGAGCCCAGAGCCUGAAUCAGCAUGUGUGUUAGUGGAAGCGUCUGGAAAGGCGCGCGAUACAGGGUGACAGCCCCGUACACAAAAGCGCAUGUGCUGUGAGCUCGAUGAGUAGGGCGGGACACGUGGUAUCCUGUCUGAAUAUGGGGGGACCAUCCUCCAAGGCUAAAUACUCCUGACUGACCGAUAGUGAACCAGUACCGUGAGGGAAAGGCGAAAAGAACCCCGGCGAGGGGAGUGAAAAAGAACCUGAAACCGUGUACGUACAAGCAGUGGGAGCACCCUUUGGGUGUGACUGCGUACCUUUUGUAUAAUGGGUCAGCGACUUAUAUUCUGUAGCAAGGUUAACCGAAUAGGGGAGCCGGAGGGAAACCGAGUCUUAAUUGGGCGUUAAGUUGCAGGGUAUAGACCCGAAACCCGGUGAUCUAGCCAUGGGCAGGUUGAAGGUUGGGUAACACUAACUGGAGGACCGAACCGACUAAUGUUGAAAAAUUAGCGGAUGACCUGUGGCUGGGGGUGAAAGGCCAAUCAAACCGGGAGAUAGCUGGUUCUCCCCGAAAGCUAUUUAGGUAGCGCCUCGUGAAUUCAUCUCCGGGGGUAGAGCACUGUUUCGGCUAGGGGGCCAUCCCGGCUUACCAACCCGAUGCAAACUGCGAAUACCGGAGAAUGUUAUCACGGGAGACACACGGCGGGUGCUAACGUCCGUCGUGAAGAGGGAAACAACCCAGACCGCCAGCUAAGGUCCCAAAGUCAUGGUUAAGUGGGAAACGAUGUGGGAAGGCCCAGACAGCCAGGAUGUUGGCUUAGAAGCAGCCAUCAUUUAAAGAAAGCGUAAUAGCUCACUGGUCGAGUCGGCCUGCGCGGAAGAUGUAACGGGGCUAAACCAUGCACCGAAGCUGCGGCAGCGACACUGUGUGUUGUUGGGUA
rnacentral:rRNA from 1 species